CCUACGGGUGGCAGCAGUGAGGAAUAUUGGUCAAUGGACGAGAGUCUGAACCAGCCAAGUAGCGUGAAGGAUGACUGCCCUAUGGGUUGUAAACUUCUUUUAUAUGGGAAUAAAAUGUUCCAAGUGUGGGAUUUUGUAUGUACCAUAUGAAUAAGGAUCGGCUAACUCCGUGCCAGCAGCCGCGGUAAUACGGAAGAUCCGGGCGUUAUCCGGAUUUAUUGGGUUUAAAGGGAGCGUAGGUGGAUUGUUAAGUCAGUUGUGAAAGUUUGCGGCGCAACCGGAAAAUUGCAGUUGAAACUGGCAGUCUGGAGUACAGUAGAGGUGGGCGGAAUUCGUGGUGUAGCGGUGAAAUGCUUAGAUAUCACGAAGAACUCCGAUUGCGAAGGCAGCUCACUGGACUGCAACUGACACUGAGGCUCGAAAGUGUGGGUAUCAAACAGGAUUAGAUACCCCUGUAGUC
rnacentral:rRNA from 1 species